UGGGUUUUUCAUUUGCGUUUCACAAAAGAGGUUUAAACCCCGAGGGGGUUUAAAUGCGUCAUAAAACGUCAUGAAACGUCAUAUUUUUUAGUCUGCUCUUAGAUGUGGUUUAAACCAUGGUUUAAUUUUACGAGCAUGCGCACUUGAGGAAUUUGUGAAAAAUCGCUGAAGUGAAGAAAACUUUUCUUGCGGUCCUGGACCUGUCAAGCGGUCUUCUUGAUUAGAAAUUCCUACCUUUCCCAAGACAUUGUGGGCUACGUGAUGCUAAAAAGCCAUCGAAAUCGUACAAGGAUGGGCCAUCUCGAGAUCAGUAUCGACUGUCAAAAGAAACCGUCACCAAUAUGCUGGAAGCCGAAAUGAAGAGGGACAUACAGAGGAUUGAUCAACUUCCUGUUUAUUUGCAGGUGUUGACAACUGUCCAUUUUUAUGCAGUGGGAUCAUUUUAAAAGAUGCAUGGUGAUGAGGCAGCAAUAUCGCAGUCAUCAAUGUGUCAGAAGCUAAAGCAAGAGGCAAUACAUGAAGAUUCCUACAACAAGAGAAGAAGUUGAAGCAACUCGAAGACAGUUCUAUCUAACUGUUAGAUUUCAAGGAGUGAAAGGUGCAAUUG